GAAGAGGGCUCCGCGCUCCAAGAGAGAAGGCUUGACUUCAGCCACCACUGUCCCCUCUUGCUGGUGCCUUUGUUCAGGGCACAGUUACUACAACUACAAGCAGUAGCCCCAGCAGAAAGUUCCUGGGCUGACAUGGAAACUAAGCUGGCCUCCCCUAGAAGGUGUCCGCCGCCCAUUCAGCAAACAUUCACCAGGCUUCAUGCAUCCUGUGUCUGUCACAUCUGGAUAGCUAGGUUUGUAAAGGAAAGAGGGGAGGAAGGCAGGGAAGACACAACUCGUGGAGUUUGCUAUGGAAAAGUCAAGAAACAUUUCUAGGCGGGGCACGGUGGCUCAUGCCUGUAAUCCCAGCACUUUGGGAGGCCGAAGCAGGCGGAUCACCUGAGGUCGGGAGUUCGAGACCAGCCUGACCAACAAGGAGAAACCCCGUCUCUACUAAAAAUACCAAAUUAGCUGGGCGUGGCAGUGCAUGCCUGUAAUCCCAGCUAUUCAGGAGGCUGAGGCAGGAGAAUCGCUUGAACCCAGGGGUCGGAGGUUGUGGUUUACCGAGAUCACGCCACUGCAUUCCAGC
rnacentral:lncRNA from 10 species